rnacentral:snRNA from 1 species
AUUGUAAUAAAUUAUUUUAACCACCAUCUGAGGCGUGAUUAUUGCUGGUUGAAAACUUAACCCAAUACCCCGCUUGGGAUGACUUGAAAUAUAGUCAGCCUUGGCAAUUUUUGAUAGUCUCAUGUGAGA